rnacentral:rRNA from 1 species
UUACCGGAGUACUAUGAAUACUAAAAAUUUAAAACUCAAAGAACUUGGCGGUGUUUUAGACCACUUAGGGGAACCUGUCUCAUAAUCGAUAAUCCACGAUAUACCUGACCUUUUUUUGUAAUCAGUUUGUAUACCGUUGUCGUCAGGUAACUUUUUAGAAACUAGAAGUUAGCAAUUGGAAUAGAUAUGAUAAUUCGUCACGUCAAAUCAAGGUGCAGCUAAUAAAGAGGGGAGGAUGGGUUACAAUUAUAUAAUUAUAAUAACGGAGGGAUAUAUGAAGUUUGUAUCAACUGUAAGGUGGACUUAAAAGUAAAUUAAAUUAUAUAGAUAAUUUGAAUAAGGCUCUGAAACGUGU